rnacentral:tRNA from 1 species
GCUGCGACGGUAUAAUGGUUAAUACAUUGCGCCUCAUGGAGCACUGUCCAGGUUCGAGUCCUGGUUGUGGCU